AUGAGAACUCAUCCAGCGGCACUAACCCUCCCCGGGGAAAACUUCCCAAGAUCUGCAAUUCAGCCAUCCGAAACGCCUCCACAACGGGAAACUUCCACCGCCGGGACUCGGUGCACGGGACACGGGACACGGGACCCGCUCAGCCCUCCCCGCUGCAGCUCCGGGCACAGCUCGGGCUCCCUCCCGCUCUCAACCCCCCCCGAGUCAUUUCCUGCCCCACCGGACGGCUCAGGAAGGGCCCGCGGAGCAGGAGCGGAGCCGCUGCCGGCAGCCGACACCCAACGGAGGACGAUGAACUUGUGCAUCGCUGUGCUCCUGCUCCUUCAUUCCUUGACGGGGAAGGCAGAAGUCCAAGAUGACAUGGAGGAGAUGACACAGGAUUUAUAUGACUACAUGGCACAUUUAAGUAAUUACUAUUAUUCCACAGAAGAUUAUUACUAUGACAACAUCACGGCAACCCCUGCCACAUACAUGUAUGAGUUGGAUACAUAUGAGACAAGCACCAUUGGAGAGGUGGACUGGGAGAAGUGGUUUCCAGUAGAGAAUGCCACCACCAUGAUUUCAGGAUUACCAGACACAAAUGCUCCAGGGGAUUCCAGGGAUGUUGACAACAGUCAGGAUUCCCAGGAAUCAUUGGGACCAUCCCUGCAGGGCCACCUCACCCUCAUCAUCCUCCUCAGCUUCCUGAGUCUCCUGCUAUGACCCCCAGACUCCUCUUCCAAAGGUACUCUGGGAUUUCAACACUCACUCAAAGUGUGUCCUUUAACCCAGGGAAAUCAAAUUCUUUCUGAAGCAGCAACUUUCCAAAACAAUGGAAAGAUAACAAACCCUUCCAGGCGUCCAGAUGCGAUGCCAGGGAACUCACCAGCAGCUCUGAUGCCACUAAUGGCCUGGAGAGGCUUUCCAGGGCAUUUUCCCAAUGACCUCCAGGCAUUCAGUGGGACCUUCACAGGUGUGAGCAGCCAGGCACCUCCCACUGCUCAUCCACUCAAACAUCCCGCUCCAUAAAACCCUGGAAUGGUUUGGGUUGGGAUGAACCUCACAGGCCAGCUGGUUCCUGCCCAGGUUCCUCUGAAGCUCUGUCCCACCUGGCCAACCUUCUCCUACAGAUGGAACUCUCCAACAUCGCAGGAAUAUGCUGACCCCCGUCCUGCCACGCUCUGGAACCUGCUUACCUUUUUCCCUCAUUCCAGACACGGUGGCUGGGGUGGUGACCAGGACACUGUCAGGUGUUGACAAUGACAUCCUCUCCACGAGGCGUUGUCUCUGUUCUGGAACUGCGAGAUUUUGUGUCUGAGGUUUUGGUGGAGGGACGGUGCCGCCCCACGGCGCAAGCACGGAGAGCUCUGCAAUGCUUCAGUCCCUUCCUGUCUCCUCAGAUUCUGCUGUAAAUAACAACCUCUGUCAAUAAAAUCCCCAACACCUGGUGCA
rnacentral:lncRNA from 1 species